GGGGGGGGGGGGGGGGGGGGGGGGGGGGGGGGGGGGGGGGGGGGGGGGGGGGGGGGGGGGGGGGGGGGGGGGGGGGGGGGCCCCCCCCCCACGCCUCCCCCCGGCGCCAGCCGCCCCCUCUUCCUCCUGCAGCCCGCCUCGGGGGGCUGCGGGGGGCCCUGGGUGGGCGCACGGCCCCACGGUGCGGAUUUUUCCAUGGACACCGGGCCGGGCCGGCCCGCCGAGCCCAAAGAUGAGCGCCUGGGCUACCAAAGCGCCCAGCCCGGCUCGCCCCCCGGGGGGGGGGAGCCCAAUCCCUCGGCUCUGCCGGCGGACGGGCACUACCCAGCGGCUCUGGCCAAACCCGAGCCCCCUCCGGGCUGUCUGUGCCCCGCCGCGGGCUGCGAUGGGUGCCCGGGGGUACCCAACCCCUUCGAGCCCACCCUGGGCGUGGCCGGGGGGCGUUUUCCGUGCCCCCCCAGCACCCACACCAAGCUGAAGAAGACGUGGCUGACGCGGCACUCGGAGCAGUCGCUGCCUCGCUCCAAAGCCCCGCGGCGGGAUGGGGGUCCCGAGCCCCCCGGGGAGGGCAAGCGCUCGGCCAAACGCCCCCACGGCACCGCCGAUGGUCCCCGAGCUGCGGGCGAGGGAGCCGGGGCGGCCAAGAGGGGCACCAAGGGCAGCGUGUGCCCGGGUGGAGGCGCGGAAAAGGCGGGGGACCCCGAGGAGAGGAGGAUGGAGCUGGGAGCCGGAGAGCCGCCGAGCCGUGCGGGGGAGCCGUGGUGCCUGCAGAGCCUGCCCUGCACGGCGCUGCCCCCCAGCAUCCCCCGCUGCCGUGCCUGCGCCCCCCGCGCCGGGGGGGCCCGUGCAGACCACCACCCUGUGCGAGCUGCUGGCCUCCACCGCCGUGAAGCUGUGCCUGGGGCAGGACGGGGUGCGCAUGGCCUUCGCCCCCGUGGCGCCCGCGCUGCCCAGCGAUAAUCGCCUGACCAGCAUCCUGGACAGCAUCAUCGCCCGCGUGGUGGAGAAGAAGAUCCAGGAGAGGCAGGCGGGGGGCGAGCUGAGCCCCCCCAGCUCCCCCCGCGUCCCACUGCGUGCUGGCCCCCAGCGGGCUGCUCUGGCUGCACGACCCCGGCCACGCCAGCAGCUACAAACUGUUCCAGGAGCACUGGCGGCAGGGCCAGCCUGUGCUGGUUUCAGGGCUGCAGAAGAGGCUGGAGGCGCGGCUGUGGGCGCCCGAGUCCUUCCAGCCCUCGGGGGAGGAGGAGGAAGAGGAGGAGGUGGAGGCGGUGAACCUGCGGGCGCCGCGCAGCCGAGUCCGGAUGAGCAGCCGCGAGUUUUGGGAUGGCUUUGCCGCCAGCACAGCAUCCCCGGAGCAGGAGCGGGGCAGCGGGGACCUGCUGAAGCUGGAGAGUGGCUUUGGGGACACGGAGCUGAGCCGGUAGGUGACAGCACAGGGGGUGGCAUCGCCCCCACGUCCCCUCCCCACGCCAGGGCUGAGUCAGCGGGGCUCGGUGGGGUUGGGGGGGGGGGGGGGGGGGGGGGGGGGGGGGGGGGGGGGGGGGGGGGGGGGGGGGGGGGGGGGGGGGGGGGGGGGGGGGGGGGGGGGGGGGGGG
rnacentral:lncRNA from 12 species